rnacentral:rRNA from 1 species
UACGUAGGGUGCGAGCGUUAAUCGGAAUUACUGGGCGUAAAGCGCGCGUAGGCGGCUUUUCAAGUCGAUUGUGAAAUCCCCGGGCUUAACCUGGGAACUGCAUUCGAGACUGCAUUGCUAGAGUAUGGGAGAGGGAAGUGGAAUUUCCGGUGUAGCGGUGAAAUGCGUAGAUAUCGGAAGGAACAUCAGUGGCGAAAGCGACUUCCUGGACCAAUACUGACGCUCAUGUGCGAAAGCGUGGGGAGCAAACAGG